GAGGGCAGAGUGCUGUGCUCCUGCCUGUAUCCAUCUCUGUGCAUCAGCCCAUCUUCAGGCAGGUGCAGUGGAGCUGAAUAAGCCAACAGGUCCUGCCUGUGAAUAGACCUGGGUCCCUACUGCUGGCCAGGCUCAUGGGAGGUAUGACAUAUAAAAAGAGAACAGAUAUAUUUAUUCACCUCCGUUACUUCCCAGAGACUCCAGGCAAAGCUGUCAGCAAAUGCCAAUCAACUGCUAAAUGGAAAUAGUGCCCACUAUGAAAAAAUCUACAGUAAAGUAGGAUUUAGAAGCCUGGACACUGCAAUGUCUAAAAAACUGAUGACCCUUGUGCAAAUGGGCAAGUUAGAACAGGAUCUGGCUGGAGAAGGAGGCUGUGCAGAGAUUGAAUCCUUUGAUCCGACAUCUCCUUCAAAUCUGCUCCAAUGCCUGCUCUAAUAUGGAAGUCAAGAGCACUCUUUUUCUAGAAGUGACGUGGUUUCUGUGCCCUUUGAAGCUCUCCAUCGAAAUUCUGAUGUCAACACGGAACUGCAGAGAGGAGAAUCAUAUUAGACUUUUCUUGGGGCACAGAGUGAAUUGACAUAAAUAUGAGUUAUCUGUUAA